GUCCACGCUGUAAACGAUGGGUACUAGGCGUCGGGGGAGCGACCCCUUCGGUGCCGUCGCUAACGCAGUAAGUACCCCGCCUGGGGAGUACGGCCGCAAGGCUGAAACUCAAAGGAAUUGACGGGGGCCCGCACAAGCGGUGGAGCAUGUGGUUUAAUUCGAGGCAACGCGAAGAACCUUACCUGGGCUUGACAUGUACGUGAAAGCCGGUGGAAACAUCGGCCCCUCUUCGGAGCGCGUACACAGGUGCUGCAUGGCUGUCGU
rnacentral:rRNA from 1 species